rnacentral:lncRNA from 1 species
UUUGUAUGAAUGUACGUGUGUAUAUACACACACACACAUAUAAUAUUAAUUGUCAGUAACAUAACCCUAGUAUAUUAUAGUAUAGUACUCUUCAUGCACUAUAUAAACAACUCAAACCUUACAAUGCUUCCCACCAACACACAUAGAUCAGUACCCUGUACCCUUCUAGCCGAAAUCUCCAUUUUUGGUAAGUCAAUAUAUAUAGAUAAUUAACAUAUUUUCUUUGUAUCAAUGGUGAAAGUUCAAAAGUAUUGAGUAAAUAUUAAAAUAAUUUGAUAUUCUCUCUAGUACAUACUUCUCUUACAUAAUUAAGAUAUAUGAUGAUGGUCUAAUUUGUAUAUAUAUCAGUGAAAAAUAUAUAUAGAAAAGUGAAAGUAGUACUGCAAGAAUGAGGAAGACUCUAGUAUUUGUUCUAGCCCUACUGAUGAUGAGCUCUUGCUUGUCCUUCAACUUGAAAGCGUUAAUGGCUGAAAUGAAUUUCAACGACGAGCAGCGAAAGCUACUAGCAGCCGAGGGGAGCAACUCUGUGCACCCUGGAACAAACGAUGUGAACAACCACCACUAUAUUCCUAGGCAGGACUUCGGCAACUAUAAUGGUGGUGGCAACUCUGGUGGAGGUACCGACGAUAACGGUGACAAAUCGGAAAAAAAUAAUUAGUUUUCGAGAUAUAUGUGAUGAGUUCUUUUAAUCAAGUUUAGUUACGUACUAUAUAUCUGUGUUUUAUAAUUAAGGUUCAUGUUUUGUUGAUGUGGUGCAAGAAGAUAUUAAAGAGUAUGUAUGUAUAUAUCUUGUGUAUAUUGUAUGGUAGGUAUAGUAGUACGUUUUGGCAAUUCUUAUAUGCCAAUGAUAUAUAUAAUUAAAUAAAACAUGUGUUAUAUUUUGUAUAAUUAAUUUAUUGUUGAUCAAAAUUUUAUCUGCAUGCAUGCACUCGUUAAAUAUAUCAUUUGACAAUUGAUGCCC